rnacentral:lncRNA from 1 species
CGAAAAAUGCCACUUCCCCAUCAAUCAAUUACACUGAUGCUUUCUCUUUGGUGAUGUUUGAUUUUAUCUCCAAAAUUUGGUGUUGUUUCAGGUUCGAUUUGUUGUAGAUUCUUGGUUGUUCGUCCAGCCAGCAUGGUAUAAGUUCUACUCAUCCAAUUUCCCUUUGUGUUUUAAAGCUUAGUGCUCGAGUCCAACUUCUUGGCAAAUUCGAUUUUGCUUGAAGGUUUGGUAUGGCUCUUGAAGAUUCGUGAGUUUUGGUAGAUUGAAAUCGGGUUAACAGGUUUUGAUUUGCCAUUAAAAAUUCAGGUUCUUGUUUAGCUAUUUUUCACUCAAUUGGGGCAAUAAAUUCAAAAUUUUGAUUAUUUGACUUGUCCCUGUAGUAAUCUAGCAAAGUUGAUUGCUUUUUGCAGCCUUGCAUCCGAAAAAUGCUCCCAGCACUAGCACAGUUUUUCAAUUAAGAAAUGCUGCAGCAGCUUUUGUUGGCGUUGAUGGAGGGUGCUUAGGAGAGUUGGACUUAUGCAAUUUUCUGGCAAUCAUCAAUGGCUGACUACGGUGGUUCAUCGCUACUGGGUUGGCGAUGUGUACUAUAAAGGCGAAGAGAAUAAAGGAAAGCAGAAGAAGGCGGCAUCACUGGCAAAGCAAGAAAACAGAAAGAAAGUGCUGAGAGAGUUUAAUAGUUGGAGCAUGAGGAGGGGAUGCCGAAAUGGGUGGUGAAGAAGGCGGCGUCACUGGCGAAGCAAGAAAACAGAAAGAAAGUGCUGAGAGAGUUUAAUAGUUGGAGCAUGAGGAGGGGAUGCCGAAAUGGGUGGUCCGCUACCACGGGACCCAUCAUCGACGCCGAAAUUGAUGGUGGAAGCAAAUUGGUUUCUUCUAAGUUUUGGAUAAUUAAAGGAUUUGUUUGUGCAAUUGAUUGAUGGGCAAGUGUUUGUGGGUUAAACUAGCCAGCGAGGGGAGCAUUUUCUGAUGAUUAAAGCGGCAAUGGAUGGUAGGUUAAACUCACG